CCUACGGGGGGCAGCAGUGGGGAAUAUUGGACAAUGGGGGAAACCCUGAUCCAGCAAUGCCGCGUGGGUGAUGAAGGCCUUCGGGUUGUAAAGCCCUUUUGGCGGGGACGAUGAUGACGGUACCCGCCGAAUAAGCUCCGGCUAACUUCGUGCCAGCAGCCGCGGUAAUACGAAGGGAGCUAGCGUUGUUCGGAAUUACUGGGCGUAAAGGGCGCGUAGGCGGCUUCGCUAGUUGGGCGUGAAAUGCCUGGGCUUAACCCAGGAACUGCGCUCAAUACUUGGAGGCUCGAGUGUGGGAGAGGAUAGUGGAAUUCCCAGUGUAGAGGUGAAAUUCGUAGAUAUUGGGAAGAACACCAGCGGCGAAGGCGGCUAUCUGGACCACAACUGACGCUGAGGCGCGAAAGCGUGGGGAGCAAACAGGAUUAGAUACCCUAGUAGUC
rnacentral:rRNA from 1 species